rnacentral:rRNA from 1 species
GAGACAGCAGUAGCCGCGGUAAUACGUAGGGUGCAAGCGUUAAUCGGAAUUACUGGGCGUAAAGCGUGCGCAGGCGGUUUGUUAAGACAGAUGUGAAAUCCCCGGGCUCAACCUGGGAAUGGCAGUGGAUACUGGCAAGCUAGAGUGUGUCAGAGGAUGGUGGAAUUCCCGGUGUAGCGGUGAAAUGCGUAGAGAUCGGGAGGAACAUCAGUGGCGAAGGCGGCCAUCUGGGACAACACUGACGCUGAGGCACGAAAGCGUGGGGAGCAAACAGGAUUAGAUACCCCGGUAGUCCCUGUCUCUUAUAC